ACGUAGGUGGCAAGCGUUGUCCGGGAUUAUUGGGCGUAAAGCGCGCGCAGGCGGCUUCUUAAGUCCAUCUUAAAAGUGCGGGGCUUAACCCCGUGAUGGGAUGGAAACUGGGAGGCUGGAGUAUCGGAGAGGAAAGUGGAAUUCCUAGUGUAGCGGUGAAAUGCGUAGAGAUUAGGAAGAACACCGGUGGCGAAGGCGACUUUCUGGACGACAACUGACGCUGAGGCGCGAAAGCGUGGGGAGCAAACAG
rnacentral:rRNA from 1 species